UGUGUACCAUUUAUGUUUUUGUCUUUUUUUAUGUUUUGGGUUUCGUCUUUUGUUAUUGCUUUAGCUGGGACUUUCAAGAUGAUGUUGAAAAGCAGGGGUGAGAGGAGACAUGAAACUUUUUAUCUUUACUUAUUUAUUCUUCAACUCUUCAACAUUCUUCUUUUCUGUAUGUAGAGCUCAGUUUCUGGCCUAUGUCAUUUUCCAUCUCUGUAGAAGAACUUUUUCUUUUUCUUUUUCUUUUUUUUUUUUUUUUUGAGAUGGAGUUUCACUCUUGUUGCCCAGGCUGGAGUGCAAUUGUGUAAUCUCGUCUCACUGCAACCUCCACCUCCCCGGUUCAAGCGAUUCUCGCGCCUCAGCCUCCCGAGUAGCUGGGAUUACAGGCAUGCACCAUCACACCCAGCUAAUAUUGUAUUUUUAGCAGAGACAGAGUUUCUCCAUGUUGGUCAGGCUGGUUUGGAACUCCUGACCUCAGGUGAUCCACAUGCCUCAGCCAAGAACUUCUUUUAACAAUUUUUUGCAAGGCAGGUGUACUGGCAACAAAUUUCCUCAAUAUAGUGUGCCAGAGAAAGGUUUUAUUAUUAUUUUUUACUUUUGAAGAAUAGUUUUGGUAGGUACCAAAAUUUUGGUUUACAUUUUUUAUCUCCCAGUGUGGUAGAUAUUUCAGUCCCCUAUUUUCUUGCUUUCAUGGUUUCUGAGGAGAAUGAGGUAUUAAUCUUACAUUGGCCCUUAUAUAAAUAAUUGUGCACCUUUUUUCCUCCCUCUGGCUUCUUUCAAUAUCAUUUAUCUUUGAUUUUCUGAAGUUUUAAUAUUAUAUGUCUAGAUACAGGUGUGUUCUUUUUUUUUUCCUCUAUCUUUUUUUGCACUUACUCUGCUUUUGGUUUGGUUUUGAGUUUUUGUUUCCUUGUUUUUGUUUGUUUUUGUUUUUGUUGUUGUUGUUGUUUUGAGACAGAAUCUAACUCUCUUGCCCAGGCUGGAGUGCAGUGGCAUGAUCUCGGCUCACUGCAACCUCUGCAGCCCGGGUUCCAGUGAUCCUCCACCUAAGCCUCCUGAGUAGCUGGAAUUACAGGCAUGCACCACCAUGCCUGGCUAAUUUUUGUGUUUUUAGUAGAGAGAGGGUUUCACCAUGUUGGCCAGGCUGGUCUCAAACUCCUGACCUCAAGUGAUCAGCCCUCCUCAGCCCCCGAAAGUGCUGGGAUUACAGGCAUGUGACACCGCGUCUGGUCUCUGAGUUUUCUGAAUCUAUGGUUUGGUGCUUGAUAAAUUCGGGGAAAUUUGCUGACACUGUUGCUUUAAAUAUUGCUUUAUUCCUCUCUCCUCCUUCUGGUAUUUAAUUAGGCAUAUAUUCAUUUUUUUGUAGUUGUUUCAUAUUUUUUGUAAAUUCUAUUCUGAUUUUUGUUUCUGUAUUGUUUUGUUUUUGCCAUUUUUUCUCUUUUUAGUUUUGGAAGUAGGCAGUGUCAUAUCCUCAAACUCAGAAAUACUUUCCUCUGUGGAGUCCAGUCUACUAAUGAGUUCAUGCAAGGUUGGUUGCCAUGAUGUACUGGGUAGAUGAAACUAGGGUAAGUAGGCUUUUAGUAUUAUAAUGGUAAGGGGGUGAAGCACAUGGGGUAAAUGGGGUGGGGCACAUAAGACUAUAAGGACAUGUUUUAUAGUCUUAUAACUAUGUCACCCUUUGGUAAGCUGUGUCUCUGGAUUGUGAACUUUAUCUGUGCUUCUCAGUAUUUACUUUACCCCUUAGGUGGGAUAGGAUGACUAUAAGGGGAUGAAGUUGGGUAUUUCCUUCCUCUAAAUGUUUAGGCACUGAUAAAACCCCAGCAAGUUAGGCUCCGGUAAAAUCUUUUUUGUUUGUUUGUUCAUUUAGUUUAGUUUUGUUUUUUUCUGACAGCAGGAUUGUUAGGAGAAAGGUGUUCUGGCAUAGUGCAAAUGCAUUUUCUCACUCCGUUCUGGAAGCUGCAGUUAAUUUUUCUCUUAUGUUCACUGUGAGGACCUGCUAGAGCAGUAUUAGCAAACUAUAGUCUAUUUUCAUAAAUUGUAUUGAGACAUAAUAGCGAUUAUUUGCAUAUUGUCUGGGCAGUUACAUGCUUCAACAGCAGGGCUGGAGAGUUAUGACUGAAACUGUAUGGCUUACAGACCUGAAAUAUUUACUAUCUUGCCCUUUAAGUAAGAAUUUGCUGACCCUCAAUCUAGACCUUAUAUUUUAAAUGAUUGCUGAAUAUUUAAAAAAUCUUUUGUCCAUCUAGGAUUAUCUGGAAAUUUAUUUGAUCUGCAUUUUCAAAUUUAUUGGUAAAAAUGUUGUUCAUAUCUUAUUUAUCUCUGUUUAUUUUUAGUAGGAUCUGUAGUAAUAUCCAUUAAAAACGUGAGUAUUCUCUAUUGUCUCUAACUUAUUUGUCUCAACUAGUUUUGUCAGGUAUUUACCAAAUUUACUAGUGUUUUCAAAGAACCAAAAUUGAAUUUCUUAUUUCUAUUUAUUUUAUUUCUCCUAUUUCAUUCAUUUCUGCUCUUAGCAUACUUUUUUAUUGUCUACUAUUUUCUUUGCCUUUACUUUUUUUCAAAACUUCUAAAAAUAGUACUUAAAUGAAUAAUUUCCAUCUUCUAAUAUAUACAUUUAAGGCUCUCCAUAUAACUCUGAUUAUGUGUGUAUCAACAAAUUUUGCUGUAUUACAAAAUAUUUGUCAGAUUAAAUACUUAUUUCAAUUGUGAGUUAUCUUUUGGCCUAUAAGUUAUUUAGAGUUAUAUUGCUUAAUUUCUAAACCUUUAGGUAUUUUUCCAGUGACUCAUUUUCAGUAAAUUCUAGCUAUAAUUAAAUAUGCUGUUUAAAUCUUCUGUAACCAUAAUGAUGUUUUGUCCCAUUUUUCAAUAAGUUACUAGAUGAAGUGUAUUUAAAUCUCUGACAAUAAGUAUGGUUUUAUUUUUGGGGGGUGGAGGGUAGCUUUAUGUUUUGCUAUUUGAUUUUCAAUUUAUACUAAGUAAGAGGUUUUUUUUUUUUUUGAAUCUAGCUCUGUUGUCAGGCUGGAGUGCAGUGGCACGAUCUCACUGCAAUCCUUGCCUCCCAGGUUCAAGUGAUUCCUCUGCUUCAGCCUCCUGAGUAGCUGACAUUACAGGCACGCACCAUCACGCCCAACUAAUUUUUUGUAUUUUAGUAUAGACAGGGUUUCACCGUGUUUGCCAGGAUGGUCUCGAUUUCCUGACCUUGUGAUCCUCCCGCCUCGGCCUCCCAAAGUACUGGGAUUACAGGCAUGAGCCACUCACUGCGCCUGGCCCAGUAAGAGUUUUUAUAUCUUCCUAUGAAUUAGCCCUUUCAUCACUCUAAAAUAUACCUCUCUAUCUCUAAUAAUGACUACAUGAUAUCAACUAUAGCUCCACUAGCUUACGCUUGAUAAACAUAGGGGUGACAUAUCCUUUUCAUUUCUUUACUGUCAAUUUUUAAAAUAUAUUUAAGUUGUGUUUCUUUCAACCAGCAGAGAGUGACAUUUUGUUGUAUUUAUAAGUCAGACAAAGUUUGCUUUACAACUGGAGUUUUAUAUUAUUUUAACCUAAUGACAUUAUUGAAAUGUGUGGUUUAAAUUACUAACUUGAAAUUCAUUUUCUAGUUGUCUCAUCCAUUCUUUAUUUCUUUUUGUUUCACUGUCUUCCAUUCUUUUCAUUCAAUUUACUAUAUUUUCCUGUUUCAUUACUCUUCUACAGCAACUUUUUAGCUAUAUAUUAUUUGACUUAGUAAUUUAACUACAGAUUACAGCAUUUUCCUCUGAUUAUUUAAAAGAGUAUAAAUACACAUUUAUGUUAUAUUCUUUUCGGUGUUAGGAUCCUAGAAAACUAAUUCAAUAUGCAAGCUUAGUGACUUUAGUGUUAUUUUUUGUCAUGUAUUUUAAUUCUAUAUAUUUUAAAAUCCACAUUAUUAUUAUUUUAUAUUGUUAACUUUAAUUUAUAUUUACCUACAUAUUUAUUGAUUUAUUUAGAUUUUCAUUCCUUUUUGCAUCUUUUUAUUUCUAUUUUGGCACAUAAUCUUUCUGCCUGAAGUCUUUCCUUUGUGUUUUCUUUGGUGUAGGUGUUUACGUGACAAACUUGGUCAGAUUAUUUUGGUACUAAAAUGUCUGUAUUAUGCCUUCAGUUUUGAAUGACAAUUUCACUAGGUUUUUUAUUUUCAUUCUCUCUGGUUCUUGCCUUUUCCAUUCCUGGAUCUCUUGAUAAUUCUUUAAAAUAUUACUUUCUUUGUAUUUAUUCUGCUUGGAUUUUGUUUAUUUAAUAUAUGGCUUGAAGUUUUAACUGAUUUUGGAAAACUUAUCUAUCUUUUUAUCUAUUUCUUCUGCAUCUUUUUCUAUCUUCCUUUCUUCUGUAUCUUCCACAGUAUGUUAGAAAUUUCAUGGUAUCCCAUAUAUAACUCCUGCUCUUUUACUCAGUUUCUUUUCUUCUCUUUCUCUUUUAGUUACAAUAUUUUCUAAUGACUUAUUUUUAUUUACUAAUCUUCUCCUCUUCUGUGUCUACACUAUCGUUAAACCCCUAUUAUUUUUAGUUCUUACUUUUAGUUAUUGCAUUUUUCAGUUCUAACAUUUCCAUUUGAUUUUUUUGUAAAAACAAUACUUCCUUCUUUCAAAAUCCUUCAUGUUGUCUUCAAUUUCUUGAGAAAAUAAAUAUUUGAAUUUCUUAUAAGAAUAUUGACCUUCUUCUUCUGUUGCAAUUUUGGAAAUUUCAUCUUGUUUCUUCUUAUUCUAAUCAAUUUUUAAUUAAAUGCUGGAUAUAUUAUUUAAAAAUUACAGAGAUAAUUUGAGACUUAUCCAAGGAUGAUUUGCCUUUGCUUCUGGAAGGCAGUUAGAAACACUCAUUGAGAGUUUAGAAAGAAAUGCUAUGGAGGUGCAUUGAUAGAGACAUUCUGGUAAAUCUGUUAUGAGAGGACAUCACUGCAAAGUGUUGUUUCUAUUGUUGUUCUCUAACAUCUUCCUGGUUAGUUUUUCUAAUGUCUUCUCAUGUUAUAACACCUUCUUCGCCUUGGUGGUGAAAUUGUUGGCUUUGGACUGAUAAAAACAAAGCAUUGUAUAAUCCCUGUAGAAGGUAAAUGGGCAGUAUUACCUAAGAAUACCUAAAUUCUUGUCUUUAAAAUCCUACACUAUACUAUCUGGAAUAGAGCUACUUUCACAGCAAGAGGUACUUUGCAAUUUAGUAAACAAUGGCUUCUCUUCACCUUCGCAGUUAUUAAGAAUGUGUGAUGCCUAAAAAAAAAAAAUCAUUUUUUAAAGAAUGAAAAAUAAUACUGUUAUUUUUGUUGAUGAACACAGCAUCAAAUAUUACUAUCUCUGCCAUAUUAUGUGGUAUUACGGAUUGUAAAAUAAAAUUAAAUAAAAACCAAAUAAAUAAAUAUUUUAUUGUUUGCAAAUAGUUGUUUUGUAUAUUUUGUUUAGAGUUUAUAAUUGCUAUGAGCAGAAAUUUUGCACGAAUAAAAACACUGUCUGUAAUUGAACUGUUUUGCGAUAUUCAUAAAAAUAUUCUCACGAAACAUCAAAAUGUAGGAAGCUAAAGUAGGGAAAACAUACUAGGUUCUUCUAGUUCCCUUUGUUGCUGAUAAAUCAAUCAUCAAUCUAAUUGAAUUGUUUUGAAACUAGUCUCUCUUUCCUUUCGUUUUUAUUUAUAAGAGGUUCUCUUUUUUUUUUUUUUCAUUUUUAUUAUUAUAUGAUUAGUCUAGGAUUCAUUUAUCUUGGUUACUUUUGUGUUUAUAGAACUGAGAAUUUUUCAGUAAUUCUGACAGAUUCUGUCAGUCAUUACUGUUUUGAUAAUUUUCUCUUUUAUAAUUAAUUCUCCAGGUAUCCUUUUGGAAACUUCAUCAAAUAAAAGUUACAUAUUUUUAUUCUCCUUGAUAUGCACCUUAAUCUUUCAUAUUUCCUUUUUUUGUUUUCCUGAAUUGCAUUCUAGUUUAUUGCUUCACAUCUAUUAUAUAACUGACCAACCAGAUACCGCUUCAGCUUGAUCUAAUAUGUGGUUUAACUAACUUAGUAUUUUUUUAAUUUAGUCAUUAAUUUUUUAAGUUUUAAAAUUUCUAAAUUUUCAAAACUUCUUAAUUUUUAUAGAUUCCUCUUCCUUUCUCAUAUAUUUAACUUAUCUUUCAUGUAAUUAGCUAAAUAAAACCUUUCUGUGUCUCAUAAUUUCAGUAUUGGAAAUGUUUUUGGUUCUUGAUUCUGCUCACAUUUGUUUCAUCUAGUUAAGCCUCAGGAUGCUUCUUUCUUUGUGCAUUUGUGAUAUUUCACUAAAUUAUUAUUAAUUCAUGACAAUGUUUACAGCUGAAGUCAAAUUUUAUCAUACCAAAAAGUAUUUACCUUUUACCUGUCAGACAAAUAAAAACAGAAGAUAAUCUGGAUCCUGUUAAAUUAAAAUUACCUGCUUGAAUUCUCCCAUUCUGCCACCUAUAGAUCCUGAAAUGCUUUGAAUAUCAGAUGAAAUGUCUAUGAAGUCCCACUCAUGAGCAUGGAUUUUCAGUGGAGAAUUAUCCCCAUAAAUCCAGUUUCAAAAUCUACAUUAGCAAGUUGCUUGCUUGUUGAUACUUUAUUUUUCAC
rnacentral:lncRNA from 1 species